GACGAACGCUGGCGGCGUGCUUAACACAUGCAAGUCGAACGGAAAGGCCCUGCUUUUGUGGGGUGCUCGAGUGGCGAACGGGUGAGUAACACGUGAGUAACCUGCCCUUGACUUUGGGAUAACUUCAGGAAACUGGGGCUAAUACCGGAUAGGAGCUCCUGCUGCAUGGUGGGGGUUGGAAAGUUUCGGCGGUUGGGGAUGGACUCGCGGCUUAUCAGCUUGUUGGUGGGGUAGUGGCUUACCCAGGCUUUGACGGGUAGCCGGCCUGAGAGGGUGACCGGCCACAUUGGGACUGAGAGACGGCCCAGACUCCUACGGGAGGCAGCAGUGGGGAAUAUUGCACAAUGGGCGGAAGCCUGAUGCAGCAACGCCGCGUGCGGGAUGACGGCCUUCGGGUUGUAAACCGCUUUCGCCUGUGACGAAGCGUGAGUGACGGUAAUGGGUAAAGAAGCACCGGCUAACUACGUG
rnacentral:rRNA from 1 species